rnacentral:rRNA from 1 species
AAAGCUCGUAGUUGAACCUUGGGCCUGGCUGGCCGGUCCGCCUCACCGCGUGCACUGGUUCGGCCGGGCCUUUCCCUCUGGGGAACCUCAUGCCCUUCACUGGGUGUGAUGGGGAACCAGGACUUUUACUGUGAAAAAAUUAGAGUGUUCAAAGCAGGCCUAUGCUCGAAUACAUUAGCAUGGAAUAAUAGAAUAGGACGUGUGGUUCUAUUUUGUUGGUUUCUAGGACCGCCGUAAUGAUUAAUAGGGACAGUCGGGGGCAUUAGUAUUCAAUUGUCAGAGGUGAAAUUCUUGGAUUUAUUGAAGACUAACUACUGCGAAAGCAUUUGCCAAGGAUGUUUUCAUUAAUCAGGAACGAAAGUUAGGGGAUCGAAGACGAUCAGAUACCGUCGUAGUCUUAACCAUAAACUAUGCCGACUAGGGAUCGGACGGUGUUAUUUUUUGACCCGUUCG